AUUGAACGCUGGCGGCAUGCUUUACACAUGCAAGUCGAACGGCAGCGCGGGCUUCGGCCUGGCGGCGAGUGGCGAACGGGUGAGUAAUGCAUCGGAACGUGCCCAGUAGUGGGGGAUAGCCCGGCGAAAGCCGGAUUAAUACCGCAUACGACCUGAGGGUGAAAGCGGGGGACCGAAAGGCCUCGCGCUAUUGGAGCGGCCGAUGUCGGAUUAGCUAGUUGGUGGGGUAAAGGCUUACCAAGGCGACGAUCCGUAGCUGGUCUGAGAGGACGACCAGCCACACUGGGACUGAGACACGGCCCAGACUCCUACGGGAGGCAGCAGUGGGGAAUUUUGGACAAUGGGGGCAACCCUGAUCCAGCCAUGCCGCGGGCGGGAAGAAGGCCUUCGGGUUGUAAACCGCUUUUGUUCGGGAAGAAAUCCUCUGGGCUAAUACCCCGGGGGGAUGACGGUACCGGAAGAAUAAGCACCGGCUAACUACGUG
rnacentral:rRNA from 1 species